AAUACAAUUAAAUGCAUCAAUUUAUUAAAAUAUAACUGAUGUGAAUUUUACACAUUAAAAAAGUCUAAAUGGUGAUACUUGAAGUCUGGCCCUUACAUCAAAGGUCACUUCCGUGUUGACGAACUAUUUAAAUAAAAAAUGUAAAUAUGCACACAAAUACUGUCCUGUACUCAUGUAUUAAAACAAAUAGCACCUAUAACCAGCUUACCAGGAUGCACGCAAAGGUCACUACUUAUAUAUAACCAAUAAAACUGCAUAUAACGAACAAAUUGUAUUUUUAUAUUGUAUAAGGACUGGACAAAUCUGAAAGUAGGUUAUAUAUGCAAACCCACAUGGAUAUAAAUAGCCUCUAUUGAAUGUGUUACACUGACAAGUACACAAAAACAACAGUCAAAUUCGGAAAUUAGGAAUACUGUCUCGUCGUCUAGUAUACAUUUACCUCCCAGUCUAUACAAUAUCAUUACUGUCGCCGCCAUUACUUUCAUGGGUGAAGGCACAAAUCACUCGGGUGUGUCCAACUGCUCCGUGUUCGGUUGAAUUCGCUUAUAUUUGGGCAGAAGUCAUAGCUUCAGAGGCCAACUCCAACGAGUGCCAUAAAUAUAAGAACUCAUUUUCGGAUAUUUCUUUGUAUUUAUAUUCUCUUUGCAUUUGAAUAUUUUCGGAUCCUCUUUGUAUUUAUAUUCUCUGUGCAUUUGAAUAUUCUCUGAAGACCAACCAUAUUAUCAGAAUAACGUGAGGAAGAUAUCACUGGUUUUCGGAUUAUUUGUGUGGCGUACGAAUUACAAUUCGAAAGUAACGGCUUCGUUGCAUGUUUAUUAUAGAUUCAUUUCCAGUGUCAGGUAUUGUAAUGGCAAGUAAUCAACAGGAAGUAAAUCAACAGUUACAAGUUUUUGUCUGAGUGAGAACCUAAGAAUCAGGAAAGGGAGAGCAUUUGAGGACAACCAGGCCGGAUGGUCUGCAGAAACUAACCUGAACAAGUGACAUAACACAUACACACUUCCCCUCAGUUUGGUCACAAGCUUCAUAUGACGCAGUUUGUCAAAUGUAAAUGAUGACUGCAGGUUUUCCAAGACAGAAAAAAUGCUGCCUGAGCUAAACGUAUGAUCCAGAAAUCCAUACAAUGGAACAGUGACCCUGUCCACAUAAAUGGUGGUGCUGGAAAACUUCAGUGGUGGUUUUACAAAGUUGCUCCAGCUCUAGACUGUUGCAAUGGACAUUCGAGUGGUUACGAAGUAUAUAGCCGACCCCACAAUGCACUCAAUGCCUGCAGCGACACCAUCGACAAACCAGAUGUGGCUGGCUUGUCAGAGUAUGGACAACAUUAUCAUAUUCUCAUCUUUGAAUCGCUUUGAGAUGAAUCACAAGAAGACCUUCAGUAGACAUGUGGUCGCUGGUUACGCUUGCACUCUUGACUUCUCGCCCGAUAUGAGGUGCGGUGCGGUGCGGUGUCGUGAGCUCCUGGCUAAAAGUUCUGCCAUGAAAAUAAGUUCAUAGCAAUAACGAGGAUAAAAGCUAAGAGGACUAAUAUUCAGGAGCUGACCUCAGUGAAAUUCUCAUUUGGUGUUUCUCUAGAGGUGGGGCAGUGAAAGUGAAACUAGUAUUAGUGAGAGAAAUAUGUAAUAAAUCACGUCAGUAGUAGCAGCAAAUUUAAAAGUUCCAUAUCUAAAGACUACCAUUUGUCGCUGACAAUGUUUAUGUUACGAUUGGACAAAAUAUUGACAAUAAUUAAUUCAUUUGAUAUUGCUUGUUGUAUGAGGCAUAUUUUUAUGUACAUAUCUAGAAUUGUUUGUAGUCCUGACUUCAGGAGAGAAGACGAUGGGACAUGGAGAGAACUGCGUAAAGACGAGGUUAAAAAUUUGUACUCCUCUCCCAAUAUUGUCAGAGCCAUGAUCAUCCAACUGUGCCGCACACUUUCAGAAGAUUUGUGCCACAAGGUGAUCACAAACGUACAUGUUCGUAGGAAGAGGUAAUGAGGCAGAAUCAUUCACCUGAACCUGCGUAGCAGCAGCAUAUUCCUUGCUGCACAGAUCACAUCUGUAGCGAGGCAGAGGACCUAUACUGUGAGUGAGCAUGUGUUUGUUCAGUGUCGACUUCCAAGCAAAGGACUGUCCGCAAGUAGAGCAAUGCAUGUCACCAUUUGAAGUAACAACAACAUAUGCUUCAUGGAUCUCAUUUCUGCACUGGGACAGAUAACAGGAAAAUAAUCAAACUGUAGAAAAGACGUAAUGAAGGGCUGUGGCCAUGUUGCGAGGGAACAGAGGAGAUGAGUUACUACAGUCUGUCCUGUCACUCUUGUUCCCUUCACUGCUGCCAACAGUUAUCCCUGUGCUACAAACUUUUAACUGUAAUGGGUCUGCUAGUGUUCCAUCAAGAUGUGUUGCCAUUUGACAGGAGCUUCCACAGUCACCCACUAUUACUACAUCUUGAUGACUUUGUUCAUGCUAAAAGAUAAAAGUGUAUUAAAUUCUUUAUUGUUUACUUUAUAAAGAACUAAAUGUUUGUUGUAUUGUCAUGCUAAUAUAAAAUGUAUGAGAUUAAGAUAUGAACAUAUAAAUAUUGUAAGAGCAGUUAUUUUGGAAGGAUAAAUCAAGUUUAAACUUUCA